rnacentral:rRNA from 1 species
UACAACGCACUACCUGUUCAUUGUGGUCGUUGCUGUCAACAGCACACGGCUCACCAUCAACGCAGGGGCCUACAUCUGCUACACAGACUGGGCGUGGACGUCCUUCGUUGUAUUCUCGGUGUCGGCUGCAAGGAUGCGAGCAAUAGGGUCGAGAUAAGGCCGGGUAUUUACAGUCGCUACAGCCACUGCACCCUAUUCCACCACUAUGCUGACCAUAUCAACACUGUGUGCAUAGGGCGCAUGGUUUGAACUUCGAUAGUAUCACGACUUUGCGCCGGGCAAAAAGACGCAGCGAGCACGCUGCCAUACUGAUUGGCGGUACGAUGGUUGGCCUAUCCUUCCCGCUGUUCAACGUGGUCAACCUGUUGCUUGUAAGGGACCCACUCGAGAUAGCCUUCAAGUUACCGAGACCGACUCUGCCCGCGUACAUGACGCCUAUAGAGCAUCAGGUAGGGAAGUUCUAAGACUCGCCUGUCGCCCUGGGGUCAGGUGCCGGUGCAGUGCUAACGGUGCCCAACGCAGCGUUGGGUGCAAAACUAAACACGUGG